CACCCGGGAUUGCCUUAGUAACGGCGAGUGAAGCGGCAAAAGCUCAAAUUUGAAAUCUGGUACCUUCGGUGCCCGAGUUGUAAUUUGGAGAGGGCAACUUUGGGGCCGUUCCUUGUCUAUGUUCCUUGGAACAGGACGUCAUAGAGGGUGAGAAUCCCGUGUGGCGAGGAGUGCGGUUCUUUGUAAAGUGCCUUCGAAGAGUCGAGUUGUUUGGGAAUGCAGCUCUAAGUGGGUGGUAAAUUCCAUCUAAAGCUAAAUAUUGGCGAGAGACCGAUAGCGAACAAGUACAGUGAUGGAAAGAUGAAAAGAACUUUGAAAAGAGAGUGAAAAAGUACGUGAAAUUGUUGAAAGGGAAGGGCAUUUGAUCAGACAUGGUGUUUUGUGCCCUCUGCUCCUUGUGGGUAGGGGAAUCUCGCAUUUCACUGGGCCAGCAUCAGUUUUGGUGGCAGGAUAAAUCCAUAGGAAUGUAGCUUGCCUCGGUAAGUAUUAUAGCCUGUGGGAAUACUGCCAGCUGGGACUGAGGACUGCGACGUAAGUCAAGGAUGCUGGCAUAAUGGUUAUAUGCCGCCCGUCUUGAACCGGGACCA
rnacentral:rRNA from 1 species